rnacentral:rRNA from 1 species
GACGAACGCUGGCGGCGUGCCUAAUACAUGCAAGUUGAGCGCUGAAGGUUGGUACUUGUACCAACUGGAUGAGCAGCGAACGGGUGAGUAACGCGUGGGGAAUCUGCCUUUGAGCGGGGGACAACAUUUGGAAACGAAUGCUAAUACCGCAUAAAAACUUUAAACACAAGUUUUAAGUUUGAAAGAUGCAAUUGCAUCACUCAAAGAUGAUCCCGCGUUGUAUUAGCUAGUUGGUGAGGUAAAGGCUCACCAAGGCGAUGAUACAUAGCCGACCUGAGAGGGUGAUCGGCCACAUUGGGACUGGGACACGGCCCAAACUCCUACGGGGGGCAGCAGUAGGGAAUCUUCGGCAAUGGACGUAAGUCUGACCGAGCAACGCCGCGUGAGUGAAGAAGGUUUUCGGAUCGUAAAACUCUGUUGGUAGAGAAGAACGUUGGUGAGAGUGGAAAGCUCAUCAAGUGACGGUAACUACCCAGAAAGGGACGGCUAACUACGUG